rnacentral:sRNA from 1 species
GCCAGGUGUGGUGAUGCACACCUAUAAUUCCAGUGGCCUGGGAGGCUGGGACAGGAGGAUCACAAGUUCAGCGAGGUGCUAAACAACUCAGACCCUGUCUCUA